UACGUAGGGUGCAAGCGUUGUCCGGAAUUAUUGGGCGUAAAGAGCUCGUAGGCGGUUCGUCGCGUCGGCUGUGAAAACCCGGAGCUCAACUCCGGGCCUGCAGUCGAUACGGGCGGACUUGAGUGUUGCAGGGGAGACUGGAAUUCCUGGUGUAGCGGUGAAAUGCGCAGAUAUCCGGAGGAACACCAGUGGCGAAGGCGGCCUUCUGGGAUGAUCCUGACGCUCAGACACGAAAGCUAGGGGAGCGAACGGG
rnacentral:rRNA from 1 species